GAAGGUGCAGAGAGUGGCAGUGAUCUUAAAGAUUCCUUUCAAAAUUGAGCAGUUCAAGCUGGCAUAGGCCACUCGAGAAGCAGCUGGGGAUUUGUCAGCAAUUACUCUUCCUUCCUGCCUGCCUUUAUUAAUUAGGAGUUCAUGAGAGCAAGAGACAAUCACAGAUUCAAAGAUAAAAUUGAUAACUGAAAAUGUCAAGUUGCUGUCAAGAACUGUGACCGACUUGAGGCAGAAUGCGUACACUGAAACCUGGCAGUUUGGGAAGAUCAUUAUAACAAUUCCCCUCUGGUACCACUGGGUAUUGGGGAUGGAGAGAUUGUACCUCACUCACCAAUUGCCUUGGCAUCCCAGCUACCUGUACAUCCUCCCAGCUGUUGACAGCAUGGAUCAUAGCCAGGCAGGAAACAAGGUCAGACAUUCUCUGGCAGAAGACACAGGACUUCUCAAGAGAGAAGCAAGACAAAUUCACCUUUCCCAGCGUGUUUCUUAGCCAUAAGUCAUACUUUCAAAAGUCAACA